AACGAACGCUGGCGGCAGGCUUAACACAUGCAAGUCGAGCGCCCCGCAAGGGGAGCGGCAGACGGGUGAGUAACACGUGGGAAUCUACCCAACCCUACGGAAUAGCUCCGGGAAACCGGAAUUAAUACCGUAUACGCCCUUAGGGGGAAAGAUUUAUCGGGGAUGGAUGAGCCCGCGUUGGAUUAGCUAGUUGGUGGGGUAAAGGCCUACCAAGGCGACGAUCCAUAGCUGGUCUGAGAGGAUGAUCAACCACAUUGGGACUGAUACACGGCCCAAACUCCUACGGGAGGCAGCAGUGGGGAAUAUUGGACAAUGGGCGCAAGCCUGAUCCAGCCAUGCCGCGUGAGUGAUGAAGGCCUUAGGGUUGUAAAGCUCUUUCACCGGAGAAGAUAAUGACGGUAUCCGGAGAAGAAGCCCCGGCUAACUUCGUGCCAGCCGCCGCCGUAA
rnacentral:rRNA from 1 species